ensembl:lncRNA
GGUUCUAGGCUGGUACUAGUCUGGGGUCUGUUAGGAACAGGGCUGCACAGCAGGAGAUUAGUGGCAGGCGAGUAAGUCUAUGGAAAAAUUGUCUUCCAAGAUACCAGUCCCUGGUGCCAAAAUAAUUGGGGGCCACUGCCCUUUAGGGCGGUCCAAGGGCAGACCCCACCCCGAUAUCCUCUGCCUUAGCUCCUCUCUGAAGUAACUAGAUGAUAGUAUCUUAUGUAUAUUUCCAGAGUUUUUUCAGAUGCUAACAGCCACCACCAAAUGGAAGAAAUUAACUACUUGAUGAUCAGGAGCAUUUAGCCCCCAGGCCUUCUGAUGCCUAAGGAUUGCUCACGUUACUUCAGCCAAUCAGAGAACUGUGCAUGAGUGGAUUGCUUAUCAUGUAGCCCCCCUCCCUCACCAGGCCUUUCAAAAUACUUUGCUGAAACCUUCUGGGGAGUUGGGGGUUUGGGGGGCAAGAAAGAAAGUGAAGUCGCUCAGUGGUGUCCGACUCUUUGCGACCCCGUGGACUGUAGCCUACCAGGCUUCUCCAUCCAUAGGAUUCUCCAGGCAAGAAUACUGGAGUGGGUUACUGUUUCCUUCUCCAGAGGAUCUUCCUGACCCAAGGAUUGAACCCAGGUCUCCUGCAUUGGAGGCAGACACUUUAACCACUGAGCCACCAGGGAGCGACCCAUUUUCCUUGCAUGGCCUGCAGUAAGCCUUUCUCUGUUCCAAACACCAACAUUUCAGUACUGUUUGGCCUCACUGUGCCAUCAGGCACAAGGACUUGGCCUUUGGGAACAAGAGAAACAGAGGCCUGAGCCCCUUUCCAGAAGAUUUCCCAGCUGAGCUGAUUGGCUGUGGCAUUAGUCCAGGUAACCAAGUACCCUUUCCACGCAGAAGCAGCAGACCCAGAGUCAUAGCCAAGCACAAGCACAUACGUCUUUCACAGAGCACUGCGCUCUCUCAGGGCCGAGUCUCACCUUGGAGGUUGAUGAUGCUCCGAAGUCACGGGGAGCUGGAGCCCAUCUCCACCGACAGCCGUCUGGCUUUUGGAUUCCAGUCACAUUCUUCACCAGCCGAAGGGAGUGCUCAAGGUCCAGAAGAUCCCCUGGAAGAGGGCAUGGCAACCCACUCCAGUAUUGUUGCCUGGGAAGUCUCAUGGACAGAGGGGCCUGGCAGGCUACAGUCCAUAGG